AGUCCUGAGCACCCCUCGCCCCUCCUUGCUGUGCUGGGGGUGUUGCCGCUUUCGUCCCCCCAGGUACUCUGAUCCCAGAAGCAGUUCGGUCUGAAUCACAAUGAUUAUGUGAAACAAGGGAUUGUCCACUCCGGUUUGGAGGAAGUGGAGAUGCACAAGCCAGUGAUCAUGCUCAAUAUUAAUAAGCCACCUUAGGAAAGAAGAAUGGUCAUGGCACAUGACUCAGUUUCCCUGCUGAGUUGGCUCAGGGAUCCUCAUCUCAGAGGAAUGGGCAGGGAUACAGAACUCUUGCCCUGACUGGUAUACAACUCCCCCGCGCAGAGGCAGGCAGCCGUGUGGGAGUCUGAAACUUGCCUGAAACCCAGAGGACAGAUUCUGAGGGCCCCAAGACCUCACCACCCAGUAGCUGUGGCAUCACAUUGGUGGCUCGUGCUCAUCUUGUGGUCAAUCAGGACGCCCAAGUCUCUUUCAGUCAUGGCGCUAGUGUAGCACUGCCAAGCCUGGCUUGCGCUAGUGAUUGUCCGCCCAUCCCCCAGCAAUCUUAGUUUAAAGCCCUGUCAAGUACAUCAGCCAUUUUGGCUAAGAAGAGCUUCUUUCCCCCUGGAGUGAGGUGGACGCCAUCCCUUCCCAACAAACUGCUGCCUCUCUCUCUGAAGUGCAGACUGUGAUCGAAGAAGCCAAAGUCUUCGCGAUAACACCAACCCUGCAGUCUUCUGUUGACUUCUUCAAUACUUUUCUCCCUCCUAUGCCCAUGACCUGUAACCAGAAGGAUCGAAGAGAAAACUACCUGCAACCUGUUGAGUGCAGCACUCCUCUGUUACAGUGCUGCAAAGUGACAUCAAGUCUUCCUAUACCAAGAGGUCACCAUUAGCCAGAAGAAAAAGGCAAAGAUUUUAAAGGAAGCAUCAGGUGCCUUAAUCCUGUCAAUCAGCUGAAACUGGGUGCUUAGCACCUUUGAAAAUCAGGCCAGUGGUGACUCCAAAUGUCUUAAAAAGGCAUUAAAAAUGAAGAUGUCUGCAGUAAGUGUAGUUGAUACUUUUGAAAUCUGAGUUGUAAUUUAAUCUUCUCCUUCUGUAAAAGGGAAAAAUGUGGUUACCAACCUUCCUAAACAUGAGAUUCAUGAGUGAAAGCUCUAAGUAUAACCACGUAUGCUUGUGAGCCUCAGAUCUAAAAGCCUUGGCUGAAGCAUUAACAUGAAUAAUGUCUGUUAUUUAAACAGUAAAUGGGGUACGAGAGAGGUUUAUUAGUACAUGCCAUUUGGAAAAUCAUGCCUGUCGUGUGAUGAAAAUUCUCCUCUUUACCUGGCCUCAUUUAGUGGCCUAUUUUAUGCUACCAAAUGUCAGCUGGUGAUGGCUUAAAAACUGCUAUUUGUAGCUAUUUCUUAGUCAUCCUUUGAAAAGUUGUAAAACUGCUUGUAGUUAAUAAUUAUAUUUUCAGGAUAAGUAAAAACUAAUGUUUAGUCAAAUCUGAGCUUCCAUAAUACUCUAGGAGAGGAGAUCAAGAAAUUUGCCAAGAUUAUCCUGUCUCCUCUGUUAUUUAUUUUUCUAACAACAUUUUGCAAUCCUCAGAGUGCUUGAUGGAAUGAUAGACUUGUCACUAGUGCAUACAUAGAUUACUUCCUUCACUGAACAAAUGUAGCCACCUAUAGGGUAGAAAACAAUAACUUUUGCUGUCAGGAAGUUAUAGAUUCAUAGAUGCUAGGGUCGGAAGGGACCUCAAUAGAUCAUCGAGUCCGACCCCCUGCAUAGGCAGGAAAGAGUGCUGGGUUCAGAUGACCCCAGCCAGAUGCUUAUCUAACCUCCUCUUGAAGACCCCCAGGGUAGGGGAGAGCACCACCUCCCUUGGGAGCCCAUUCCAGACUUUGUCCACUCUAACUGUGAAGAAGUUCUUCUUAAUGUCUAGUCUCUGCUAGCUUAUGGCCAUUAUUUCUUGUAACCCCCAGGGGCGCCUUGGUGCGUAAAGCCUCACCAAUUCCCUUCUGUGCCCCCAUGAUGAACUUAUAGGCAGCCACAAGGUCGCCUCUCAACCUUGAAGUGCGGCGCCCAAAAUUGCACGCAGUAUUCCAACUGCGGUCUGACCAGCGCCCGAUAGAGGGGAAUUAUCACCUCCUUGGUUCUGUUCAUCAUGCAUCUGCUGAUGGACGAUAAAGUGCCAUUAGCUUUUCUGAUGACUUCGUCACACUGACGUCUCAUGUUCAUCUUGGAGUCCACUAGGACUCCAAGAUCCCUUUCCACUUCCGUGCCACCAAGCAGGUCAUUUCCUAAGCAGUAGGUAUGCUGGACCCCCAGGGUAGGAGAGAGCACCACCUCCCUUGGAGCCCAUUCCAGAUUUUGGCCACUCUAACUGUGAAGAAGUUCCUUCUAAUGUCCAGUCUAGAUCUGCUCUCUGCUAGCUUAUGGCCAUUAUUUCUUGUGACCCCCAGGGCCCCCAUGAUGAACUUAUAGGCAGCCACAAGGUUGCCUCUCAACCUUCUCUUGUGGAGGCUGAAGAGGUCCAGGUGCCCUAGUCUCUCCUCAUAGGGGUGGCCUGCAAGCCCUUAACCAUAUGAGUGGCCCUUCUCUGGACCCUCUCCAGGUUAUCCACAUCCCUCUUGAAGUGUAGUGCCCAAAACUGCACGCAGUAUUCCAACUGCGGUCUGACCAGCACGCGAUAGAGGGGCAGUAUCACCUCCUUGGCUCUAUUAUAGGUUUAGGGCAGGGCAUGAAAGCAGUUAAAGAAAUGUGAGACAGAAUGUGGCCACAAUAUUAGGUCUAACCUGCUAAUGUUGCAAGAAAUUCAAUGGGAUUCUCAAUGGCCAGAGACUUGCUUUUAUAUCUAGCCCAAAAACACCAACCAUCAAGAACAAAGUGCUACUACCUUGCAGGGAGGUUUUCUGUCAUUAUAAUCACAAUCUUAACUAUAUAUAGUGGGAUAUUGACUUUUGAUUCAGGAAAAAGAGUGACACUCACCAACUUCCACCUCCUGGAGAACCUUAAUGGGUUCUCAUUUAUGUGUUAAAUAGCCUGAGUCUUCCUGGCUUGUAAAAUCUAACAAGGCAGCAUCCUGAGGUAAUACAACUGUGCCUGUUUAAUGGCCUACUUAACAGGAUUAGGAAAUACAGAAUGUCCCCAGAAUUACUACUGAAGCAAAAUGUCACAAAUUGAAAUGUCUAGUAAAAUGUGUACAUUUGAUAGCUAUGCUGGUAGGCUUUUCUUUAAAGAAUUAACUGUGAUCAGACUUGACUUUUAUAAAUCUGUUCUUGUACCAAUAAUACAGAUUAUGCUCUGGUUUCACAGUGCAAGCCUAGACCCACACUUACCACACUUGCAUGGUUUCUACAUAGGCUCCCGUCAGGUUACAGAGUUAUCAGCAGCUAUAGCUAGUCUUUCGGUAGGAAGAGACAGCUAACCAUAGGCCAUUUAAGGUGAGCAAGGUCCCAGUCCUGCAAAUACUCAUGUACAUCCUUUACUUUAAGCAUGAGCUACAUUACUGACUGCAAUGGGACUGUAUUCAGAUGGUUCAAUCAAACCUACCCUACAUGUUUGUUAUUCUGCACCCUAAUAUCAACAGGAGUUUGCACCUCAAUUCAGCAGAAGUUCACAUUUAUACAGCUCCCAUUAAACAGCGCUCCUCAGAUGACAGUUAUUUCAGGCUGCUUGCCUAUGCAGAAGAUCAGACAAGAUUUAAAGAGCUAAAUCCACCCUUAAUGCAGACCGAGCCAUGAGGGAUGAAUUGGAUCCAUUGGGUGCGUCCAGAUGAGUGUGCACAUGUGUUUCCCCAGGGACAAACAGCAGCAGCGCAUAGUUGUGCUGCUAUUUGUCCCCAGAGCAUGCCCAUGCAUGUGCGCUCUGGCAUGCGGCAAGUUACCCAGGGCUGCACCUGGGCUGGCUCCAGCAGCCUUACCUGGGGGCCUCCUGGAGUUCCAGUGCCAGCAGUCCAGGAGCAUGGAGCCUAGCUGACAGCUGGAGUGUGGCUCCAGCAGGCCAGGUUCUGGUUUUCAGUGGUGCAUGCUGCCAUAUAUUUGUGCUGUCCCAUUUUUUUCUACUGCAGGUUUUUUUGACACCAGGAUAUCCUGGUGUCAAAAAAACCUUCUGUACUGCAAAUUAGCAGCAUGGUGAACUCCUGCAUGUGCAGUGUGUGCAGUCUGCAACGCCACAGACAGGUUUGCAGCACCACAAACUGCAUGUGCAUCCUUAUCUGGACAUGCUUAUUGUCUCUUAAUCUUGUGAUUAUGUGGGCUGAGAUGAUUAUUCUGGUGAAAAUGUGCCACAUCCUCAUUUGUUACGUACUGUUAUAUUUCCGAUUCAUGUUUUUAGAAGUUUAGUACAAUUAGCAACCACAGUAAAUAUCACUUAUUAUCAGAGGGGAAUUGUAGAAAGUUGCUUAGAGCUCCAGUUCCUCCUCUAUGUAAUGACAUUAGUACAUAGCUAAAUGAGUGCUGAAUGUUCUAAAGAUGCCAGAGAUAAUAGAAAUAAAUUGUCAGUUGUUCUAUAUUUCUUUUUAUUUAAGGAGAGAAAGGACCCAAUCAUGUUCCUCUUGAAGUCAAUGGAAGGGCUUGCCUUGAGGGAGAAGAAUAAAGCCCAUAGCAAUAAUGGAAAUUUAAAAAUCCCAGCAUAAAACAAGGCUGUGGAUUCCCAUUACUCUCUGCUGUGCUGAAUAAUAAGCCAGGAACCCACUGCUCUACAGGUGUUGUGGUUUUUUUGUCCUCCUUGGAUGCUAUACAAGUAUGGUCCACAACACAAAUUAACCAGUGGAUUACAUAGGGCACUCAAAUGAAAUUUUUUCUCCAUGCACCAAAACAAAUAACACAAUAGCUUUCUUUCUUGCAGUUUUAGCUUAAACUGUAGAAACUCACACUGCUUAGUCGUAAAGGUCACUGGCUCCAUCCUUGGUGAGUAAGCCAGGAUGGUGGCCAUCAUGUAAGUCAGUGUUGCCCAGGAUUUGAAUUGUUGUUGGUAUCAGAUACUUGGGAACAGCUCUCUCUUCCAGGGGAAGUUUGUUGCCAACUGUUUAAUGUGAAUCACGUGUGUGUCUUCAGGUGCCUAAUCAAUAGACGGUGUAGGUCUGUUACACUAUGUUGUAUGUCACACCUCCUGCUGACAGCCACCAAAGGGAAAAAUUAACAAAAUGCUGAUCAGUGUGUUACUUAUACAGACCAGCUCCCUGUUCUGCAUAAGUUGUGGGCGUGUUCCAAUCUGCCACUAUAUAGCAUUUAAGGCUUCUGUAUACAACCAACAGUACAGAUCCUUUGCAGCCAUCACAUAUACCCAUUCUAGUAACCAGAAUAAAGGACAUCAACUCAAGAGGUGGGAUAAAAACACUUCAAGGGAAAUUAGGAACCAGCAGAACUCCUUGCAAACUUCAAAGAACUUGACAGAGAACACCUGAAUUCCUUGUUUUACAGCAAGUAGUAACAAAGACAGAUGUGCUGGCUUACAAAGAGCAGGUUUUAAAGGCACAGCAACACACAGGAAGAAGGGGCCCUCUGCAUUUAUCCAGGGGAUUUUUUAUUAAAGUCCCUGACUCUCGAUUGUUUUGGCUUCUUUGAGUAGAAAGCCUGGAGGAGGAAUGCUGCCUUUGUUUGACAUAAUCUUAGCCUUAUAAGGAAGGCUGUUCUUAAUUACUGAGGAAAAGUAGCUUGGCUAAAAACUCCAUUACAGCUUUUCAUUGAAGGGAAAGUUCAGCAGAACAUCUCCAGCUGAUGACAGUGGGAGAGAUGUGGAUGGAGAUAAUGGGGUGUACCUUGGAUAUGAAAGAAUCAGGUCCAUGUCCCUGUUCCAGUAAAUAUUUAUACACAGCAAAACUGACAAAGACCCAUCCCAGAAUGGCCAACAGCCUGAAAGUAACAGCACUCACUUUGGAUAUGGAAAACUUGAUUUCCCUGUUCCAAAUCAAGCAGAGCAAGAAUGAUUUCAAAAUGGGUCUCUGACAGCCUAAGUAAUUGCCUAUAAUAGACACUUACUGUCUUAGUUUUCACUAUGAAAGGUCUUGAGUUCAUCCUCAUCUGUAAUAGGAAACAUUUUUCAUAAAAUGGGAAAAUAGUUUCCCACAUGGCUCUAAUCCUAUGGUCAAAUACAGAGUUCAUGAGGGGGAUGCAACUCCACUGACUACAGGGCAUUUGGCUUAUCUAUGGUACUCUGGCUCUACGAAUAAAGGCAUUUUGGGUAAUUCCUCACUGUCUCAGGGAAUGGCACCUGAGGCUAAUAUGUGAACAUAAGAUAAACAAUUUCUCUGAGUCUUCUUUCCUCAGUGUGAAGGGUGUCCCCAGGCAUGUAAUAAAAACAAUAUGCAGAGAUUAUUUAAACAAAAGAAUAUGCAAACCACAAGUGCUGGAGAUCAACUGUGCUACACACUCUUCCAGAGCAUUCUGUCACAUCCCGUAUUUUAUGGCAUACUUACCUUGCUAUACUAACUGGGUUGAUUUUAAAGACUUUGGCAUAAGGUACCAAAAUGUUAUUACUUUCUUUGUCCAUGUAUUUUAACUGGUUCAACUGCUUUAAACAGUCAUUUGCACUUAUGCAACAUCUCAAAUAUAAGAUACUACAAUAAAUCAGUACACUUAUAUGUAUAUAGCAAAACCAUAGCUAUGUAGUGUUAUAAGUGCCUCUCUUUUAUCACAUUGUUUUACAGUAUAAUUUCUUUAAAAUAUUUGCCAAGCACAUUACCUUUAAACUACAUAGCAAAGUAAACUUUAUACCCUGCAAUCAAAGUCAAUCUCAAAGUAUCAUCUAUAAAUAUGAUUGAAGAAUAUAAGUAUAUACAAGAAUCAAUGUACUAGCAAUUAUAUACUGGUAUACAAGUAAGGUAUUUAGGAACAUUUUUCUGACUACAUUUCCAAAAAGAUGGAUUAGUUUGAGAGCUGGAAAUAUGACCAAUCUUUACAUUUAUGUGUUUGAUUGGACAAAUAUUCAACCAACUGUGGUCAAGUCCCAUGUUCCUAUGUCCUCAUUCAUAGGGCACUAUGCUGUGUUAAACUACAGAUCUUCUUUUAAUACCACAUUUAUUCAUAUAUUGUACAAGCAUUUCCUCUCAAAAUUAGCCAUCCCAAGUUGGCCUAAGUGUUUUUAGCUAGGAGGGUGAUUUCCAUUCUGGGAUGGAAGCAUACAGUAAUGCCUAUCAGGGACUAUGCUGCCUUCCCAGACCCAUGUAGAAGGUGCAGAGUCCAGUUCUCUCCUUCCAGCUCCAAAGCUCAAGCUUUAACACCAUCACAGCUGCUACUGAAAUGGCAGCAGUUUUGGGGAGCAAUCAGGCAGUGACUUUGACACAGAUAAAGCUUAAGCUUUGGACCUAGGAGGAGAUGAGUGAUGCAUGCACCCAGAAGCAUUCAGCCAUGGUGAGCCCAUGCUGUGACCUGGAAGACUCUGAUCUUUUUCUUUUCAUUCUGUCUUCCCAAAACAAGGUGAGUGUUUUAUUUGGGAGGGCAUUGUGAUAUUGUAGAAAAUAGAGAAAAUUACAAAGAGAAAAAUGAUGACUUCUAUGUGGCAAAAUUAUGCUGGGGUGGUCUGACAGAUAGGAACAUAUUGAGCAGUGUCUUCUCCUAAACCAGUGGUCUCCAACCUUUUUAUGUAGGAGAUCACCCUUGACAUUUAAAAGCAACCCAAGAUCUACCAUGUGCUGCUGCCACACCCCCCGAGCAGAUAAGUUUGUGGGGAGGGAAGGGGGGGGGCAGAUUGAGGCAGAGGGAGAAAAAUUAUUUGGGGGUGCACCUUCCCAGCAGGUAAGUCCCAUCUGGCCAGGGAUCAACUCAACUUACCCCUGCUCCUUCCUCUGUGGCACUGUCCCUCACUGAAGCAGCCUCGAUCUAGCCCCAGCCCCUUCCCUCCCCCACAGACUGACAUGCUAGGCUAGGGUGCGCAUGUGCAUGCAUGCAGGCACUCAGCCCCCCACCCCAGCCUCAGAUCGACUCCAAGAGGCUCUGAGAUCUACCAGCAGAUCAAGAUCCACUGGUUAGUGACCACUCUCCUAAACCUUUAUAGAUUGACUUAAUUAUGUGUCAUGCUUCAAGUGCCCAUGACUGGUACUAAAACUUAAUUUUUUUUCCAGAGUCUUCAUUAGGGAAAAAACCUGUGUUUUUAAACUCAAGUUAGUUACAUAGGAUAAAAUCCUAAUAAAGACAAGGCAAUUUGUACUUUUCUCAUGAUUUAGCAUAUGGGUGGACAAUUAUUUUUGCUGGAUAGCCGCUUGACGGGUUUUGGUGAGCUGUUGAGGGACGCAUGGGUAGCCCUUCCCCCUAGUCGCCAUCUUGGGAUCGAAGUCACUCCCCUAACCCCCUGACCUUUGCCACCAGAAGUCCCUCCCCUUACCCCCUGGAAAUACUCCUUUUGGGAGGAGAGGUUGCCAUCUUGGAACCAGAAAAACCCCCCAAAUCAUAGACUAAAAGUCAAACACCUACUAUAACGUAUUUUAAAUUUUAUUACAAAAAUAUUGUCUUGAUUUGUGUUUGUGUAGUGUAUAUAGAGAUGUGUAUAAUACAGGCAGUCCUCAGACUUACAACACAAUUGAUUCCUGAAAACCAAAAUGUUGUAACUCGGAACCAAUUUUCUCAUAAGAAACAAUGUUAUAAAUGGGGGAUUGAUUCCCGAACCAAGGCCUGAUACCCUAUUUUCGCCAAAAAUACCCAAGAAUUUUGUACUCAAUCAAUUAUAGAUGGGUAAUAUAGCUACAUUAAUGUAUUUAUAUCGUAAGUAGCAAUCAUAAUGAUUUGGAAGGACUUCUUUGAGGUGACUUUGAUGGACUUUUUGAAGGGUUCUUGGCUGGAGUCUUCUCAGGAAUCUUGUCUGCAAGUUUUUCUGGAGUCUUGUCUGCUUUCUUAAAGAAAGUGUCCAAGCAAGUUUGGACAGAUGUUCUCCAGGGAAAUGAGCGAUGCAGCGAAUUUGUUCGCUGGCGUGGCGUGGCGUCGCAUUGGAUCAAGCAUUUUAAGUCGAAACUGAUGUCAUAAAGUUGAAACAGGGUGUCAAUUUAUAAACGUUGUAAGUGCAAAACAUUGUUAUUCGAAACAUUGUAAGUCAAGGACUGCCUGUAACUCAAAAAUAAAGUCUUACUCUUGUAUAUUGUA